UAGGGCCAGUACUUAGCUGACGGUGCGGCUGUAAAUUUGCUAUGCAGGUUUAUGAGCUGACACUGAGGAAAGUCCACCCACUUACCUUUAAGGUAAUAGUCACUUGCGGAAGCAAGAUUCAGCAAUGGAUGGCAACCACUCAGAAACGAAACCACCAUAAAAUAGUAUGAUGCUUGCGAAGUUUUUGGCGACAAAAACAAGUUGACCAGCUGACGUUUUUUAUGGAAAGGAUGAAACGGUGAGCCCUGACUGGUGCAAGUCGCAAAUGGCUGUUUUGCAGCUAAAAAGACGCUUAGUUAAAUGCUAAGGCAGAUGAUGACAGCAGUGCUGUUGAAACAUCUGACAGAAGGUGGCUUAUUCUGGCCCUA
rnacentral:RNase_P_RNA from 1 species